GAUAGGUGUAUGUGGGAAGUGGUACAGUGGCAACGAGAGACUCCUCACCGACCUUGGGCUCUCCUCCAGCCGCAUGAAGAGGAUAGCGAGGGUGUUUUCCCAAAGGGCCCUCCUAUCCUUAGUGGACAUAAUACAUAUUUUUGUGAGUCAGGCCAGGCAGAUGUAACUAUCUGCUUGUGGGGGGGCAGGGUUAGAUUUGGCUUUUAAUUGGCUGUUUCCCCCUAAUUAACACCUUCCCGUCCCGGCUCCUUUCCAAACUAUACUGACUCUCUUCCCCCUUCCGUCUGCAAUGAUCACAUUCUCCUUCCAGAGGACCAAACAAUCUUUGAUCCCUUGGAACUGUAGGAUCUGGUCCUUGCUUCCUUCCUAUUAACUUUGGUAGAGAUGGUGGGACUUAACAUCUCGUUCCCGUAUGACGCAUCCUGUUUUUAUACCAGAUAUGACGAGGUGGACAGGCCACCUAAAAGCUGGAAAAGGUGCCUUGCAAUCGCAAGGUUCAUUAAACCUCAUCUUCUAAUUAGUGACGCGCAUGAAUGGAUGAACGAGAUUCCCACUCUCCCUACCUACUAUCCAGUGAAACCACAGCCAAGGGAAUGGGCUUAGUGGAAUCAGCGGGGAAAGACGACCCUCUUGAGCUUGACUCUAGUCUGGCGCUGUGAAGAGACAUGAAAGGUGUGGAAUAAGUGGGAGGCCCCGUGCCGUGGCCCAGCCACCAGUGAAAUACUACUAUUUGUAGCAGCUUGGAGCGGGUCCAGACAUCAACUUCAUAGAAGCUGGAACUGACUUCGUUUAUUAGCUUACAUGCAGUACAUUUAUAUGAUUCUAGCAGUUAGUGAUGUAAUUACACAGGCUCCUAAUUGGUAGACAAUGAUCUAACUAAUACCCUUACAGCCCCCCUUACUUGUUUAGCUCAUCCUUUUAGUUCAACAGCUCUUUUAUUCCCUCUGACCUUGGUCUACUUCCUUAUCUCCUAGUUAGCAGUCCCUUUGUUCUUUCACUGAAACCUGAAGGCUGAAAUUGAGCAGGCCUGCUGGGCAGCCAUGUACGCGGCUCUCUAGCCAUCCCUCUACAAUUCCCCCUUUUUCUUUUGUACCAGCAAGGCCUGCUUAGUAGUACAGGACACUUCUUCCUCUCAUGAUGUUCUGCAGGCUCACACUUCCCACCGCUAGGGUACCAGCUGUUUGCCUGCUACAUCUGAUGUAUGCAAGUUUGCUUCCAGCCAGGGUUUCACCCAUUUUGCUGGCACCCACCUGGUUCCAGCAUCUGUAAUGAUACAAGCAUACCCUUUUCCCCAGGUUAUCAAGUC
rnacentral:ncRNA from 1 species